AGCUGCACAUCACUGGAAAGCUCCCCACUAAGCUGACCCUGCGGUUCUCCUCCGGGCUCCAGCCGCCCCACCGCACCAAGGGGCUCUCGUUCGUACGUUUAUUCAACCACUCAUUACUUUGUUAAACCCUUCAUUAAUUCACUCCAAGUAAGCACAUCAUCACACAGCACGAAAUAAAGGCAAAAAAGCCAAAACAUGGAUAACACAUUAACCAGGAAAAAGGAAUGGGAUUACUAUGAAAGGUCUGGUCUUUCCUAAAGCAGUUGGUCACCUAGAAGAGAGUGAACAAAACUGGAGUUCUUCUGGCAAGUAAUAAAGGAGACUGUUAAGAAGAACACAGAUAUGAAAAGAGAGUCUGUCUAUUCAUGGAGCCCUCUCCUGGGAACUCCCUCCUGAGGCCCUCUGAAGAGAAGAAAACAUCAAAACCCUUCUGAAAGAAAAAGGUUUAUCACCGAAUAUUUAAUGUUUCCAUUUUAUUAAAGAAUCCAGUUUUUAAAGGUUAGGCCAAAUUUACCCUUCCAUGUAGUUGAAGAAGAAUUAGAUACAUUUCUCUAUAGUUUGACAGUUUAUUUACACCCCACAAUAUAAUGUUUAUUUUCUCCAUGGCAAACUUAGUACUUUGUAAAUAUAAUACUUUGUCUCUCACUGAAAUUUUUCUUUAACAUUUUCACAAGCAAAAUCCUGGUAAUCACUGAAUCUGGGUGAUAAGUAUAUGGGUAUUCUUUGUACCAGUCUCUGUACUUUGGAAUAUUUUGAAAAUGUUCACAAUUAAAAAAAAAUCAUUAACAGUCUUACCAGCUCCAACACAUAUCAAGUUAGUAAACCUACUUCACAGGUCGGACAGGGUAAGAAAGAAGGUUUUUUGUUGUUGAUUUUUUUGGUUUUUAGAAAAUACAAUCACCUUGUUUGAAUGCAUCAUCUGAAAGUAGUCAACUUCAUCCAAAAGUAGUAACCUCAGCAACAGCACCAGAAGAAAGACCAGCCUGCUGACCUCUGGGAGAGCAAUAAUAUUUAAAAAUGAUCACUUGCCAGAUGUUUUGGGGACUUGUCUUUCAUGGCAAGUUGGCUCUUGGCUAACACUGACAGUGAAGGGAGCCAUGUAACUGGAAGGAGAUUGUAUUAGUCAGCUCGAGCUGCUGUGACAAAAUAACACAGACUGGGUAGGUUCAAUUAGAAAUUUGUUUUC